rnacentral:rRNA from 1 species
ACGAACGCUGGCGGCGUGCCUAAUACAUGCAAGUUGAGCGCUGAAGGUUGGUACUUGUACCAACUGGAUGAGCAGCGAACGGGUGAGUAACGCGUGGGGAAUCUGCCUUUGAGCGGGGGACAACAUUUGGAAACGAAUGCUAAUACCGCAUAAAAACUUUAAACACAAGUUUUAAGUUUGAAAGAUGCAAUUGCAUCACUCAAAGAUGAUCCCGCGUUGUAUUAGCUAGUUGGUGAGGUAAAGGCUCACCAAGGCGAUGAUACAUAGCCGACCUGAGAGGGUGAUCGGCCACAUUGGGACUGAGACACGGCCCAAACUCCCACGGGAGGCAGCAGUAGGGAAUCUUCGGCAAUGGACGAAAGUCUGACCGAGCAACGCCGCGUGAGUGAAGAAGGUUUUCGGAUCGUAAAACUCUGUUGGUAGAGAAGAACGUUGGUGAGAGUGGAAAGCUCAUCAAGUGACGGUAACUACCCAGAAAGGGACGGCUAACUACGUG